rnacentral:rRNA from 2 species
CUGUAAGCCUGCGAAGGUGGCCUGUGAGGGUUGCUGGAGGUAUCAGAAGUGCGAAUGCUGACAUAAGUAACGAUAAAGCGGGUGAAAAGCCCGCUCGCCGGAAGACCAAGGGUUCCUGUCCAACGUUAAUCGGGGCAGGGUGAGUCGACCCCUAAGGCGAGGCCGAAAGGCGUAGUCGAUGGGAAACGGGUUAAUAUUCCCGUACUUGGUGUUACUGCGAAGGGGGGACGGAGAAGGCUAUGUUGGCCGGGCGACGGUUGUCCCGGUUUAAGCGUGUAGGUGUGUGUUCCAGGUAAAUCCGGUUCACUUUAACACUGAGGCGUGAUGACGAGGCACUACGGUGCUGAAGCAACAAAUGCCCUGCUUCCAGGAAAAGCCUCUAAGCAUCAGGUAACAUCAAAUCGUACCCCAAACCGACACAGGUGGUCAGGUAGAGAAUACCAAGGCGCUUGAGAGAACUCGGGUGAAGGAACUAGGCAAAAUGGUGCCGUAACUUCGGGAGAAGGCACGCUGACA